ACGCUGGCGGCGUGCCUAAUACAUGCAAGUAGAACGCUGAAGAGAGGAGCUUGCUCUUCUUGAAUGAGUUGCGAACGGGUGAGUAACGCGUAGGUAACCUGCCUUGUAGCGGGGGAUAACUAUUGGAAACGAUAGCUAAUACCGCAUAACAAUGGGUGACACAUGUCAUUUAUUUGAAAGGGGCAAUUGCUCCACUACAAGAUGGACCUGCGUUGUAUUAGCUAGUAGGUGAGGUAACGGCUCACCUAGGCGACGAUACAUAGCCGACCUGAGGGGGUGAUCGGCCACACUGGGACUGAGACACGGCCCAGACUCCUACGGGAGGCAGCAGUAGGGAAUCUUCGGCAAUGGGGGCAACCCUGACCGAGCAACGCCGCGUGAGUGAAGAAGGUUUUCGGAUCGUAAAGCUCUGUUGUAAGUCAAGAACGAGUGUGAGAGUGGAAAGUUCACACUGUGACGGUAGCUUACCAGAAAGGGACGGCUAACUACGUGCCAGCAGCCGCGGUAAUACGUAGGUCCCGAGCGUUGUCCGGAUUUAUUGGGCGUAAAGCGAGCGCAGGCGGUUUGAUAAGUCUGAAGUUAAAGGCUGUGGCUCAACCAUAGUUCGCUUUGGAAACUGUCAAACUUGAGUGCAGAAGGGGAGAGUGGAAUUCCAUGUGUAGCGGUGAAAUGCGUAGAUAUAUGGAGGAACGCCGGUGGCGAAAGCGGCUCUCUGGUCUGUAACUGACGCUGAGGCUCGAAAGCGUGGGGAGCGAACAGGAUUAGAUACCCUGGUAGUCCACGCCGUAAACGAUGAGUGCUAGGUGUUGGAUCCUUUCCGGGAUUCAGUGCCGCAGCUAACGCAUUAAGCACUCCGCCUGGGGAGUACGACCGCAAGGUUGAAACUCAAAGGAAUUGACGGGGGCCCGCACAAG
rnacentral:rRNA from 1 species